UCCGAGUUGACCCCGGCAGUCUCCUAUGAGUCCCCGCCAUCACGCGCUGGCAACAUAGAACGAGGGUUGCGCUCGUUGCGGGACUUAACCCAACAUCUCACGACACGAGCUGACGACAACCAUGCACCACCUGUACAGGACCCUUACGGACCCCCCAUCUCUGGAGGAUUUCCCUGUAUGUCAAGGGCUGGUAAGGUUCUGCGCGUUGCUUCGAAUUGAACCACAUGCUCCACCGCUUGUGCGGGCCCCCGUCAAUUCCUUUGAGUUUCAGCCUUGCGGCCGUACUCCCCAGGCGGGGCACUUAAUGCGUUAGCGCCGGCACCCAGGGGGUCGCUCCCCCAGGCACCUAGUGCCCAUCGUUUACGGCGUGACUAC
rnacentral:misc_RNA from 1 species